UUCACCCUCUAUCAGUCACAAGCUGAUAAAGUACACUAGGACUAGAAAGCUAUAGAAGAAGGCAACAAGGAUGAGCACAAGUAUGGAAUGGCUUCUGCACUGGAAACAAAUAAACAGACUUCUCAGUCUGCAGGAGAGAUGCCGCUGGGACAGAGAUGGCAGAGAUUUGUAAAACAGAGUGGUGUGCUGAAGGUUUUUAAAUAACAGUGCUUGGUUUCUGGUGAGAAUCUAUUUUCAACUGCAGGCAAAAUAAUAAUGAAGGCCAUCAGCAGAGUGUAAGGUUGGAGCUGAAAAUACAAAGCACAUAGCUGAAAAAUUACCAGUUACUAAUAAGAAAAUCCCAAAGGAGAGGGGAAGCACAAGUGAGUGCAAGUGGAUGCAACUGUGUGACCAAGUGAGUGUGUGAGUGAGAAUGCAUGAGAGUGUGCAGAGGCAUCAGUG
rnacentral:lncRNA from 1 species